CCCUGUGAUUUAUUUCCCCUAACUAUGCACGAGAAAGACAUCACCAAGAGUAGCUGAGCUACUUUAAAGGAAAACACCAACUGGGAAGAUGGAUUUUGCAGUUUUGCUGAGAUAGUGCAGGCUGAAAAAACCACACCUCAAAUCUAUAACAGUCUGACCUGCACCUCGAUGAACCUACCGCUGGGAAAUCACAGCGCAGAUCUGUCGCAGGCAGUAUCAAUGUCACUUGUAGGUCUGAUCAUCAUCAUCAUCAUAAAAGCGGCACCAAGAAGAGCUACGAAAUAUUGCAUAGGGUCCAGAAUAACUGAAAUUUGAAGGAUUUCUUUCAAGAGAUAUUCCUUUUCACUGGUGUAUUAACCAAACCAUUGCUUUUCUGGAUCGCAAGGGACAUCAGGACAAGUUCAGCUCACAUCCCCCUUUGCUGCUUCUAACUUGCAGUCGGACACAUCGUAAUCUUCGACAAGAAAACAAGUAACAGGAACAUAGGGCUGGCAUCAGGAACCCCUGACCUGCCGGUGGAGGUGCUGCUGCGGAGUCCUCGUCCACUCCAAAGUUCAAGGUCCCUGGAGAUCGCAGUGACAGGUGACACACAGCUGGAGAGAGCGAAGGUGUGCCGGGCUCUGCGUGUGGCUGCACCGGGAGAUGCCACCUCGGCCUGCGAGUGAGCAGACCAACACGCUGCAUGAGCCACUGGCAAAGGUAAGAGGGAGGAAUGUUCACUCCCCCUUCCCAAAAAAUCUCAUUGAAUUCAAAUUGCCUUCACGGAAAGUUUCUAUUUCAGCCACGCUUUUGAUAGGAGGAAAUGCAAAUAAUCAAAAUCUUGCAACCUUACUUUGAAAACAGGGUCAGAUUGUUCCACUUCAAUAAUGCCUCCACCAGCUGAGAACUGCUUAGCUCGAUUCGUUUUGUGUAGACAUUUGGUAGAAAAAGUAUCUAAGCCCAAUGAAUGAAAUGAUUUUACCUUUGCAAAGCAAUAUCCUUUCAUAUUGCUGGCAGUCAAACAGCACUUGCGAGCUGCAGAAAUGACAGCCUUCUGCUUUCAUCCACAGUGAUGCCUUUUCCCAAAACAGUGAAACGGACACUAAUAUUUAGGUCUGGCUCUGGCAAUCAAACAAAGUAAUUUUGGUUUCGAAAAGUUAUGUGGAGCUAUAGACUUGCAGCACGGGCAAGAUAUUUAGAUCACAACAACAUGAGAUCUAAACAUUUAUUCCUGCUUGACUUUCUGAAAUAGAGACAUAAGGAGGAACACCAGUCAGAGCUACAAGAGGCAGCUUAAUCCUCGCCUUCUUCCUCAGCCCUUUGGGACACUACUUACGAGUUAUACAGUCAAUAAUAACAAACAGCAGCAUUGCCUGGUCCUCCUCCAAGAAUUUUAAAGUGAUUGCAGUGGGAUUAAAUAUUGUCCCCGGCUACAGACGUUGCUAGAGAAAAAUAGGAUUAUGUGGUCCUUCAGAUUGAAACCACUGGGCAGACUGGCCUAGAAGAUGAAAGAAACUUUCAUUCCUGGGAGCCAAGAUUUCCUGAGGCCAGGGCUUAGCAGACCUUUUGCAGCGGUGCUGGGGUGAGCAGCCCCCCAGGUGCGUCUCUUGGGCCAGGAGGUGUGUCAGCCCCACGCGUUCCCCUGGCAGGUUCACCGCGUGGCCACAAAGCCCUGAGCCGGGGCAAGGGGAAGGAGCCGCCGGGGCGCGGGGACCACGUAACACAUCGCUGCUGCCAGCCCUGCAGCGUAGCCUGAGCUCUAAUCCUCUGCCACAGACGGGCUUUGGAAACGAGGCAGCAUGCAUGCCGUCUCUUGUUUGCGUAACAAAUAAAUGGAAUAAGGCAGCAAAGGGAAAUAGGAAAUGGAGCACACACAGCGCAACAGCAAACCCUCUGCUUGCUGCAAGCAGCCUGUUCAGGUGAACAGAGCCGGUGAGCGGCCGAGCGCCCAGGGCGAGAGCGCGCUUUGCCUGGCCUGUUCCCAACGGCAGCCUCGUUGCUCAGUGCAGCUCCCCUCUCUCUGAGCUGCUCUCGGAGUUGGUCGGCUCCCUCCCGAGGCCACGGGGCAGGAGAUGGGGCCCAGGCUUGCGCGUGCCGCCUGCCCCUCCACCUGGCAUGCUCAACAUCUGCACGGAGAAGGAAAGGGGCAGAGGUGCUUUGGUAAGAUCCACGUGCGGUCUGGAGGCAUGCAUGCACGAAGCAUGCCUGAUUUGGUUUCUGCCAAACACCUGGAUCACCAGCAAGCCAAGAAGAUCCUAAUUCCCCAUCAAAGUGCUUGACUGCCAGGAAGCUCCUGCUCGUCAGCCUCCCUCCUUGCACCCAGCUCUCCACUUCGUGUUCCCGAUUAACACACAGCAGCUGUGAGCCCUGCAGCAGGGAGGCUGUGCCAUCAUUAGGGCUUUACAGGCCAUGAUCUGAGUCCUGUAGGGGAUGGUCUGUGUCCUGACUUGCUCUGAGUUGUGACAAGCUGUACUGCAGUGCUGCAAAUUGCCUGGUCCUUGCAGCUCCUACCUGAAUCAGGCUUUGUGUGAGGACUGCCCAGCACUCUGCAUCUUGGUGUCUUUACAGAGGUAAGGGUUAGCUUUUUCAGAGCAUUUAAAGCCUCACCUACAGACUAAUUCCACGCACCUACACCUUCAUGCGGACUAAAGCACUGUGCCCUCGUGCCACCCCGCAUCGCUGGCUGUAGGAGGCACCGCACGUCACCUGCCGAAGGCACGUGCCAUAUCGAGGAGCGUGGUGCGGUGUGGUGGUUAAAUCGUAAAAGCAGGCUGUAAUGGCUUUUCCUCGCUCCUCUAUUUCAUACAAUGUUGGCCAAGUGUUUUAAUCAGUGCAGGCUCUCGGGGGAUAUAAAUGAGCACAGCACAGCUGACUUCAGGGGGGAUGUAUCAAUUUCCUGAAAAAUCUGGUACUACAUGUCCUAACUCCUAAUCUUCAGCACAGGGCUAUUAACCUUUGUCGUUUAGGGAUGUUGCAAGAUGUGCUGUUGUUAUUAUUGAUAUUUUAAUAUUAUACAAUUUGCAGACCCUGCCUCAAAGAGUUUUUGAGGCUUGCAUAUUGCUUUGAUAUGCUUAAAUAAACGUUGUUACAAAGCACUCGUUAUUCGUGCUCUCGUCACCAGGUAAAUUGAAAGUGCUUUGUUCAAGUAUAGCGAUUGUAUAGUACUCUGUGUUGUGCAUUAAUAUUUUAAGUUCUUCCAUGCUAAAGGCAUUGCUUAUAAGGCAGUGAGUAUAUUUUCAUUUGCAGUUUUCAUUCUUUUCAGUGCAAGCUACUAAUAAGGAACAGUAUAUCAAAAAUAGCAAGGCCAAAAGCAGUUUGGCUACUUAAAAAAUGCCACAAGAGAUUAGCACAGUAUACUUAUACACAAACCAUAUGCAGUCAAGAAAGAAACGGGACAAAUGAAAACAGUUUUAGCAGGUAAGCACCCACACAGCAACAUGUGUCGUAUAUCAAAGAGGCACAGACUGUAAAACAACGUCCUGCAGCUUGCAGCAAGUAGAAAAGCUACCAAUAAAAGGUUGAUCUUCCCUCUUCUUUGGUUUCACGAGCCACCCGGGAUAGUGAUUGCAAAAUUGAGUUUUAAGCAUCAAAAGGAGGCUGGAGUCAUCCUAGAUGGUGUCCAUAAGUUUCUCUGGUGUCCAGGAGGCCGAGUCUACGGAGUGCGUGGCUAGACGGGGGAUUCCCACUCUGUUGGAAAGUUUGUGCUGUGCAUCUGUGUAUGGAUCUCACUUCUUCCCUAUGAGGUGGAACAGAUGACACAAGAGCAAUUCUGCUUUCCUCUCAGCAUCCAUAAUAUAGGUCGCAGUCCUAAUUCCCAAGUAUUUUUAUCUUCAUAAUAAAAAAUAAAACAACUGCUAAGUAAAACCUCAGGGGAAAACCUGUAAGAGGUAUUAUUCAUUAUAUUAUAUUACUACAGUGUGUGUGCAUGUAUCUAUAAAUGUUAUUUCUGUAUUAAUCUAACUUCCAGCUGUUUUGACUUGUGUUCUGGAUCUUUUACAUUUUAAUUGCCUAGAGUAGGUGGGCAGCAAUGAUGGGAGGCAAUUCCAUACAGCCUCUUAUCCAGGAAGAUUGCACUCUUUUAUGGUGAUAAUCCCUGUCUGAUGGGUUUCCCAUCAGACGGGAAUGCAGGCUGCACUGACUUCCAGUGUGCAGGAGGUCCCUGUUUAUGGAUAAUGCAGCCGUCUCCGGUGCACCGCUUCUGCUGCUCUGUGAAAUGCGGUGGUAGUACAGUCUGAACAGCUUGGCCUCUGUACGUGAAUUUGUUUGGAAAAAUCCCCAAUAAAGGAAACGGUGAUUCAGCUGG